CCCCCUUGCUGGCAAGCUGUAAUAAAGACCCUUUCUCUCCUACCACCUUGCCUCUGAACUGUUGGCUUGUCUUUCAGUGAGUGGAAGAAUC